CGCUUUUCGGGCACAGCAGUUGCAGUGGACGGCACGCAGCAUCGUUUCUCACGCACUUGCUUUGCCACUGUUCCAGGAUGACCAGCGCAGCUGUGUAUGCGGCCCCUUAAUGUCGAACUGCCCCUCCGCGGGGGUCGGCCCGAUAUUGUACAAUCUUCGUGAUCGGCCCACGUAUGGGGAGUGCUUAUCAACGCCUGCGUCACCGCCGCCGCGGGUCGACCUGGCAUUGCACAAUCUUCGGCGUUCUUUCUGCACGCGAAUGCGAUAGUGGGGAAAACUGGGCACGUGUAUGCCGAUGGGAGACGACGAACUUCGGACAGCAGCAGCAGCCUGGUUCAAGCCCAGGUACCGCCCGCCGCCAGGGUAGCCGUCGCAAGGGUAUGCGGCGGAGGCAUGCGGCAGCAGGCUCAAGCUCUUCCGCGGCCAGGCUCUAGAUCAUGGCCGAGGACCCGACGAUUUUCUACAUGUGGCACAAAGGCCUUGUACCAUCGUAUGUACCGCCGUACACGCUGACCGUCCAAAUCUGCGGGCACUCUAUUUCUAUGGAGCUGUACACAGGGGCUAGCGUGUCAGUAAUGGCUGGGAAACUCUUUAAUAGUACUUUCCUCGGCGUGUCCGUCGCGGCUUCGGGCGUAAUGCUGCGCAUUUGGAGGCCCCUCUUUUGGAGGCCAACCAGACUAAGAAAGGAGGGGACGCCUGUGUGAGCACCCCAUCUCUGAGCAUUUAUAACGAUGAAAGCAUGUUUUUAGAUAAUUUUAGAUUUUGAUUAUACGCGAUUCCCUUCGAAUAUAUCUUCAGUGUUCUAGCACGUGCGCAUUGACAUAAUCAGUGUCCCUCUUUUUU